rnacentral:lncRNA from 1 species
AUUUGACCCAAUUAAGGUGAUAUCCAAUUUAGGUCUUGUUACAUGCCUCUUAUCUAGUAUGAGAUCUAACUCGGUUGGGCAAUCCAAUGAGGUCCUGAUUACAGAGGCUUUGAUUUUAUUUCAAGCUAUUUUAUUCUCUACGCAAUUUUAAAAAAUGUUGUCGUAAUACGUGAAGUCUUGCUUGAGAAUGCUCCGGGCACCUAGCUGUGGAACGAAGAAUGGAAAUUGUAAUAACAAAAUCCUAAUUCUAAUAGAAUAUUAAUAAUGCUCUAAUUAGAUCAUAAUAAUGCUAAGCAAGCUUUAUCAAAUUCAAAAAAAUCUCAAAGAAAUCUCAAACAAAUAAUAAGAAUUCUUAAAGAAAUAUUAGAAGGAAUAGAAAUACCACUCAAAUACAUCUCAAUUCAUUCUUAAUUUAAUUCUAGUUAAAAUCUUAUUGAACUUCAUUCAAACUUUAGGCCAAAACUAAAUAAAUCUUAAAUCCUAAUAAAAUCCUAAACCCUAAAUCAAAUCCUAAACAAACCUUAAACCAAACCUCAACCAAAUCCUAAACCAAAUCCUAACCAAAUCCUAAACCAAAUACUAACCAAAUCUUAAACCAAAUCCUAAAUCCUAAAUCAACCGUAACUAAAUUCUAAAUCCUUAACCAAACCUUAAAUAAAUCUUAAAUCCUAAAUCAAAUCCUAACCAAACCCUAAAUCCUAAAUCAAAUCCUAACCAAAUCCUAAACCCUAAAUCAAACCCUAAUCAAAUCCUAAAUCCUAAACCAAAUACUAACCAAAUCCUAAAUCCUAAAUCAAAUCCUAAUUCAAAUCCUAAAUCCUAAACCAAAUCCUAACCAAACCUUAAAUCCUAAAUCAAACCCUAAUCCAAAUCCUAAACCCUAAACCAAAUCCUAACCAAAUCCUAGUAAUUCCUAUAACACAUUUAAAUCUCAAUAACUAAUGAUCAAACCAUCGAUCUUAAUUCAAAUUUUUCACACUUCUAAAAAAAUAAGUUAAAAACAAGCACAAAAAAAUUGAAAAGGAUCGGAGUUACCAAAUUGACAAUAAUCUCAAAAAAGUGCUCAGGUAUUGGUCAGCCUCCUUCUCCAAUCUUGAUGCUAAUCUUCCAGAGUCAAUAUCUCUCCUAUGGACCGUAAAAUUGAUCUCAAAAUUCUCAUACAUAUAGAAAAAUAAGUCUCAUAUCCUCUCAUGUAAGUUUUACUCAAAUCCAACUAAUACAUUACAAGAAAUCUUAA